AUUAUUACAAAAUUUCAUAUCAACAAAAAAGUAUUACUUUUUAAUAAAAAAUAAUAUUUUUAAAUAUUUGCAGUUGAUUUUAAAAAAUAUAUGAUAUGCAAAUAAAAAAUUAAUAUCGAUAUAAAAGUUAUUGUUAAGUGAUAUCUUUUAAGAAUUCAACAUAAACAUCUUUUUAUUAGAAAUAUAUCAUGAAAAAAUAUGUUUCAUAGUCAUAAUAUAAUAUCAAAAAGUUCAAUAAGUAUGAUAAUACUAUUCGGAAAUAAUAAAGAAGGUUUCACGUCAUCAAAGCCUAACAUAUAGUCUAGCUAAUCAGAAGAAUUCAAGAAUUCCUAUUUUUUUCGGAUACUCUUAAUCCAUUUCUCUAACUUGUGAACCUGUAGCAUCAUUAUGCUUUUUUUUAGUUGUCACUUUCACAAAAUAUACUAACAGUGUAUAAUGGUUCUUUCCAUCCAAGUCCAUCUAAUUUUUCUUUGCAUUCUCCAAAGCUAGGUGCACUAUAUUUUUAAACAAUAACUCCAAAGCAGCAGUCAUUAUCUCAUUAAUUUUUUUCAGCCGAACUGAAGAUUGGGAUGAAAAGUUAUUAGGAGCUCCAUCACUUUCGUCACCAACUAGACAUAAGUAUAUCUUGGACUCUAAUCAUGAACUCCCGUUGCAGUACAACCCUCGAAAAACAUUGUACACAAAUUUGGAAGGGUAGAGGUGAAGUCUUCAAUGUUUUUGGCCUAAACAAAUUAAAUUUUCAUUACAGAUCUCAUACAUGUAUAUAUUGUUGUUGUUUUUAAUCAUGUAUACUAUUAUCUUACUCAAAAAUCUCGAGUUCUUGAUAAACAUCAAUACAACCAAAAAUAUUAUUACAACAAGAGUUCUUGACAAAAAUCAAUACAACCCAAAAAAAUUGUUAUUAUAAGAAUAUACUUGUAAAGAUUAUGAAAACUUACCACUUCAAGCGGAAAAAAAUGGUGUUUAGUUGAGAAAAGAUAGAAAGAAAGUUUGUACAGAGAGAGAGAGAGAGAGAGCCCGCACGUCGCGCAACGAGAGAGAAAGGGGAUGUGAUUUUUUUCUAGCAUAUUGAAUAAGUCUGAAUGUUGUUAAGACUAUCUUACAAAUGUGAUGUGAUUCGUUCGGAUCUUUUCAAAAGGCUUUUUUAAAAAGAAACAAAUGAACUUAAUGAGUUGAAUUUGAAUGAUUAAAAUUCAGAUUUUUAAAAACCAAAUACACUUAACGGGCUAAAUUUGAAUGAUUAAGAUUAAAACCUUCACGAAGUAAAGAAAUGAGGUCUAAGACAACUUGUUUACACCAAAAAUAAUACAGAACUAAACAAUUAAGCUUAAAUCUUUGUAUGCUGCUCUGCUUUCCUUCAAAACAUCUCUGGUUCCUUUCUAGCCAUACUGUCCGCCAUAUACAAGAUGGGACAACCUUCCAUCUCUCCUCCUUUCUUCCUGCAUUAUCUCUAUUCCAGUGCUUGAAGACCUCUUUGAUCCUUCCUGAUUUCACCGAUCUGAUCUUAUCUCAUGUUGGUGAACAUUUGCCACAAUUGGUUUAUCAACUUGAUGUGUAAGGAGAUAUAGUUGGCUGUCUCUCCUUGCUCUUCAUACAGAAAGCACCUGGAACACAGGUGAAAACCUCUUUCGUUCAAGUUCUCAUGUGUCAAAACUGUCUCCUUAGCUAGCAACCAAGUAAAACAAUUUACUAUACAUGGUAUCUUAGUUUUCCAUAUCAUCUUCCAAGGCCAUUCUACUUCCUCAACGCCAACUGUAUUGAGAUCUUCAUAGACUGAGUUAACAACAAACCACCCUUUGCCCACUUUUCAUACCAGUGAAUCAUUACUUAAUUGUGCUAGGGUGACAUAAAACUCUGCUAUUCUACACAUCUCUCAAUCAUUUAAGUUUCUCCGGAAGUGUAAACUCCACCCUUGAUCAUUCCAUAAUUCUGCUACAGUUGCUUGUUUCAUUUGACAUAGGUUGUAGGGGUCAGAAAACCUUUGGCUUAGUGAAAUCUGGCCACUCCAUCUGACUAUCCAGAAAGCCACCUUUCUGCCAUUUUGCACUUUGCAUCAUGAUUUUUCUAGCACCAGAUCUGAUGGAUCUAUAUGUGGAGAGGACACCUCUGUUGUCUCCACACACUAGAUCUAUAUGGGGAGGACAACUCUGUUGUCUCCACACACUAGAUCCAUAUGGAGAGGACACUUUUGUUGUCUCCACACACUAGAUCCAUAUGGAGAGGACACUUCUUUUGUGAUCCGGUUAUGCCUCAUUCCAUACUUUGCAGCAGUCACUUCCUUCCACAUUGAGUUCUCAGUAGAUGCAAACUUCUGUGGAGACGACACCUCUGUUGUCAUCCAGUUAUGCCUCAUUCCAUACUUUGCAGCAAUCACUUCCUUCCACAUUGAGUUCUCAAUAGAUGCAAACUUCCAUCGCCAUUUCAUCAUUAGGCUUUUGUUGUGAAACUUCAUGUUUCUGAUGCUCACACCCCCAAUCUCCUUGCUUAUGUUCAUUUCUUCCCAUUUGACAAGAUAAUACUUCCUCUUAUCUUCAUUUCUUGCCGAAAAGAGGUUCUUCUCACACCAGUUGGUGCUUGGAAAACAAAUAUCAUGUAUGAUGAUAAGGCAUACAAUUCUCUAUCAGACCACUCCAAAUGCUCAUUGACUUAUUUUUGCACCUUAAGGCAUUCCCAAGUAGAUGGUGGGUAGCUCUCCUACUUUUCCCCCAGUGUAAUGGCCAGAUCUUCAAUUUGUACCACUUCAUUAACGGGGUAGAUAUAGUUCUCAAUUUAUAUGAAGGCCCGAAACAACUUAAAAAAUUAUGAAAAUGGUUCUCAUAAUCAGAAAUUGUUCCCUCACUGCAUCACAAAAAACUAAGGUUUCAUCUGUAGGUGAGUGUGAUUUCUAAGUUGUUUCCUGCCAUGUUUUGUGCUUGGAAGCCUCUGAUCUAGUCAGUGGCCUUUGUUGUGUUGAUCAGACUACUCAUCCCCUCCAUAGCUAGAAUGAACAAGAAAGGUGAGAGUGGAUCUCCCUGCCUCAAGCCCCUUUGGAGAAGAGAAAACCAGUGGGACUUAUAUUAAUGUGAAAAAUUGACACUGCCGAUACAAUAUUUGAUCCACCUGAUCCAUUUAGUAACAGGUCAAAUUCAAUCUUAUGGAAAUAUCAAAUUUUAAAUAAAUGACAUUGCCUUAUCAUGAACCAGGUAUCAUGCUAGAAAAAAUGUUACGAAGACGGAGGAUCAUAUAUUCUAAGGUGUUAAGAAGUCCCACAUCGGGAUAGAGAUGGGAAUUAUGAGCUUGUUUGGCUCAGUUUAAAAGCUGGUCAAACUGACUUAAAAGCUGAUUUUUGACUUAUUUAACUGUUUGGCAAUACUCAAAAUAGCUUAUUUUAAGUUAAAAAAAAACUUAUUUUAAGCCAAAAGUUAAAAGCUGGGGUAGGGGUGCUUUUUUUUUUUAGCUUAUAAGCUGUUUUAAGUUGACCACAUUUUUAUGUUUUUUUCCCUUAAUAUUUUUAUACAAUCUCCAAAUUACCCAUAUAACCCUAACAUCUCUUUCUUCUAUUUUUCCCUUUUCACGUUUGGCAUAACAACUUAAGCACUUUUAUCCAAACGCAUAACUGCUUAUUUUAAAAAUAAGUUUCAGCACUUUCAGAAUUACUUUUUUAAAGCUGCUUUUAUUAAGCCCAUCCAAACGGGCCCUAUGUCUCCUUAUAUGGACUUGGACAAAGAGCUAGUAUUUUGAGGUUGACUUAGGCCUAGGUAUCGUAUCUUUACAUGGUAUUAAAACCAGACUCAUCUCAAUUUGUUGUUCACCGAUGUUGGGCCCCCAUUUAGAAGUGUUCAUGCCCCAGUUGGGGUAUGGGCGUAUGAGGGAGUGUUAAGAAGUCCCACAUUGAUAGAGGGAUGGGAAUUUGGUCUCGAUUCUUAAUUAGAAUGACUUGAUAGAUGAAUAUGUUACAACUAGAACUAGAACUAAAAUAGAUGGCUAAAAUGAAGAAGUGGUAUCUACGUGUUAUGAGAUAUAAGGCUAUCUACCAUAAUGAAUAUAUUGAAUAGUUAUAUGACUCGCAAUGUAAUAUAAGAGAAUCUUUUGCCGCUAAAAUUCAAUGUAUCUGUAAAGAAUGACAAAAGUCCCACAUCGGUGGUUAAUGAGAUGGAUGGACUCCAUAUAAGACUUGGGUAAUCCUCCUCUCUUUGAGCUAGCUUUUGGGGUGUCAGUCAGGCCUAAGACCUAAUUCAACAGUAUCCAUAAGCUAAGUGUCGAGAUAUACAGACACUAAGAUAGAUGUAGGGUCAUACACGAUUAGACAAUUUUUAAAAGUGAUUACAUUUGGAUGAAGGUACAAGUAGCAUAAAUUGGGAUAGAUGUCAGAAGAUCGCUUUAAAUUGUUCGGUAAUUAUCUACAUUGACCUCCGGAUGCACCAGUUAGGUGUGAAACGUGGUGAGUGAAUGUGUUAAAAGGGAUGAGGUUGUAACAUUCUGGAAAAUCAUGUCUAAUGAAAAGCCAGUAUGCCCUUAGGAUAGCCUAUUAGGGGUACAUAGGCACCCCAAUGCCUCAAUAUUGGGCAUAGUAUAGAAAAAUUGGCUAAGGGAGAUUAGCCAAUUUUUUUCUAUAUACGAAUAAGAAAUAUACCUUUUAGGUUGUCAUACCCUAAUCCAAGAUUGUUGUUCAAUAAAUGCACCUGCAAUGAAGACGCUAAACUAAAAUGCUUUUCCCUUUAACUCACAAAAAGGUAUGAGGCAUCCAAGUGUCAAGCCUAGAUAUCAUGUUACAUGAUCAAUUAAAAUGAUCAUGUAGAGUAAGAAGUGCCCAAGGACAUAGUGAGGAUCUUUGGGACAAUAAGUAAACAUUAUCAAAUGAACCAUAAAUAAUAGUUAGUUAGGAAAGUACAACCAACCCAUGUGCAAGCACAUGUGCAAGACAUGUGAAGAAGCACCAAAGGAGGAGACCACCCUAACUGAAUUCGGUUAGGGUAGUUAAAGGGACAAAAACGUGCAUAAGGGACCAUUUCAUGUGGGCCUAACAUCCUAACCAAUUUUAGACUCUAACCUACUGCCCAAAAUAGCUAACUAACCUAGGAUAACCGAAAUGGACCCACUAGUGCACCCGACAAUCUAGGACUAAAAUCAGGUUGACACUAACCUAGUACUAGUUAAAGAGACAACAUAGUACCUAACCUAGGAUGGUCCAAAAGAUAAGUUAUGGUCUAUCAACUAAGGGGUACUUUAGUAAUUUUUCUAGGUUACCUAAUUAAUUUAUGUAGCAAAUUAAUUAAUUAAUUUAAAGGGCUAAAACCAAAACUACAAAGGAAAUUUUUAGAUUUUGGUUAAGACAAGAAAGGGACAACCUAGAACCUAACCUACGAUGGUCCAAAGAGUUAGUUAAGGUCCUAACAACAUAGAGAUACUUUAGUAAGUACCCUAUUAGUAAUUUUCCUAGGUUACCUAAUUAAUUUAUGUAGCAAAUUAAUUAAUUAAUUUAAAGGGCUAAAACCAAAACUACAAAGGAAAUUUUUAGAUUUUGGUUAAGAAAAGAAAGGGACAACCUAGAACCUAACCUACGAUGGUCCAAAGAGUUAGUUAAGGUCCUAACAACAUAGAGAUACUUUAGUAAGUACCCUAGGCUAUUUAAUUAAUUAAUUUAGCAGCUUAAUUAAUUAAUUUGAAGGGUCAAAACCGAAAUCACAAAGAAGUUUCAAGAUUUCGAUUGAGACAAGAAAAAGACAACCUAGUAUUUAACCUAGGAUGGUCCAAAGGAUUACUUAUGGUUAUAACGACUUAAGAGUACUUUAGUAAUUACACUAGGUUACUUCAUUAAUUAAAUUAUACAUUUAAUUAAUUAAAUUAAAGGGGUCAAACCGAAAUUCUUAUGCUAACCUAGUAUAAUGCAAGAAACAUUCUCCUUUGUUUAGUUAACUUAGGAGGGGUUUUUUAGUAAUUAGUUAAUUAAUUUUUUUAAUUAACUUAUUAAACCCUAAGUUGAAAAGUUAAUGUCAGUUCCUAAACCUAAAAAUCGCGUUCAAACUCAAACAAAUACACAACUAAAACCAGAAAAACAAGCGUGAGAAAAACAGUGAACAAAACGCAAGAAAAAAACAGAAAAUUUCUUAGAUGAUUUUUUCAAGGUUCUUUAAGGUUCGUUCAAUGUGGUCUUCGUAGAUUAAGUUCUACUUAAGAUAUGGGUUUUCUCUCAUGGAAUUCUUUCUCCAAGAGGCUUUUCAAACAUUUCAAACUCAUGAAUUUCGAAUCUAGGGUUGUUUCCCAAUGGUGUUGUUGAACGCCCAUCUCCUAGUUAUCCUUGUUUUCAAUUCUUUAAGUAUAUAGAUGUAAUCUUGAACAUGUUGUUGGUAUGUGGUUCUAACUGAUUUUAUAAGUUCUUAAUUUAUUAAUAGUAAUGAGGUCUAUAGAGUGAUUAGUUAUACAAAUUAAGGAAUGACAUAAUGCUUAGUUUUGUGUUCGAGAAAGAUGAAGUUGUUAUGAGUUGUUUAUGAAGUUGAUUCUACUGUUAUAAGUUGUUCAUUGAAUGAUAAUUAUAAGUUAAUUGAAUGUAAAAAGGUUAGGCUUACAACAAAUGAAGUUUAAAUGACCAUCAUAUGUGAAAGUUGGGUUUAUGCCAACAAAUUGGCUAGCAACACAAUGUCCAAAAUAUUAUCUCCCAAAAUGUGUGAAGUUAUACUAACAAAGUGAUACCAAUCUCUACAUCAAUGAACUCAUAAUCAUAGGGUAUGUCAAUCAAUGGGACAAGUCCCAACAUAUCCUAUCCACACGAACAUGUGAACGUAAUAGCAUUGAAUAAGUAGUUAUAACUUUCAUAAAGAAUCAAAGCUAGUUCAUGAAUCUAUAAUGCCAAAAUAACUUCAUAGCUUGGUCAAAGCAAGCAUUGAAUUGUUCUUGUAAGUUAAUCAAAGAUUAAAAGUUCAAGUGUAGUGAAAGUUUGGCUAAUGCCAAUAAAUUUGUCUACAACAUUAUUUUCAAAAUAUGUAAUAGAAUUAACUAAUGAUUCCAUGAAAUUAUACUUGAAUGAACUGCCUGCCUUAUGCCAAUAAAAUGGCUAACAAUACAUCGUCUAAGAGUGAUGAAUGAAAUUGGCUAUAAUGUUAUCUUUAAAUAAUUAAAAGAUUAGCUAAUGGCUAAGGUAUACCAAACUAAACAUGAAUGAGUGUAACUUUGGCUUGUGCCAAUAAAUUGGCUAUGAUAAUAUUUUGGACAUAGUUUUGCUAGCCAAUUUGUUGGCGUAAAUGAAACUUUCACAUAUGGUGGUCAUUUAAACUUCAUUUGUUGUAAGUCAACCUUUUUACAUUCAAUUAACUUACAAUUAUCAUUCAAUGAACAGCCUAUAACAAUAGACUCAACUUCAUAAACAACUCAUAACAACUUCAUCUUUCUCGAACACAAAACUAAGCAUUAUGUCAUUCCUUAAUUUGUGUAAAAAAUCACUCCAAUUUAUAGACCUCAUUACUCAUUAAUAAAUCAAGAACUAAUAAAAUCAGUUAGAACCACAUACCAACAACAUGUUCAAGAUUACAUCUAUAUACUUAAAGAAUUGAAAACAAGGAUAACUAGGGAGAUGGGCGUUCAACAACACCAUUGGGAAACAACCCUAGUUUCGAAAUUCAUGAGUUUGAAAAGCCUCUUGGAGAAAGAAUUUCAUGAGAGAAAACCCAUACCUUAAGUAGAACUUAAUCUACGAAGACCAUAUUGAACGAACCUUGAAAAAUUGUCUAAGAAAUUUUCUUUUUUUCUUGCGUUUUGUUCACUGUUUUUCUCACGCUUGUUUUCUGGUAUUAGUCGUGUAUUUGUUUGAGUUUAAACGUGGUUUUAGGUUUAGGAACUAACCUUGACUUAUUCAACUUAUGUUUUGUUAAGUUAAUUAAAUAAAUUAAUUAACUAAUUACUAAAAAACCCUCCUAAGUUGACUAAACAUAGGAGAAUUUUUAUUUGACCAAAAGUCUGAAUUUUUGGUGUUGACUAUGGUUUAGGUCAACAUUUUGACUUUAUAUUAAUUAAAUCAAUCAUUAAUUUAAUUAAUUUAGGGACAUAAGGUAAGUACUAAAGUACCCCUAAGUCAUUGGAACCAUAAUCAACCCUUUAGGACCAUCCUAGGUUAAAUAAUAGGAUGUUUCUUGCUUUAUACUAGGUUAGCAUAAGAAUUUCAGUUUGAACCCUUUAAUUUAAUUAAUUAAAUGUAUAAUUUAAUUAAUGAAGUAACCUAGUGUAAUUACUAAAGUAGCCUUGAGUCGUUAUGACCAUAACUAAUCCUUUGGACCAUCCGAGGUUAAAUACUAGGUUGUUUUUUUCUUAUCUCAACCGAAAUCUUGAGACUUCUUUGUGAUUUCGGUUUUGACCGUUUAAUUAAUUAAUUAAGCUGCUAAAUUAAUUAAUUAAAUAGCCUAGGGUACUUACUAAAGUAUCCCUAAGUUGUUAGGACCUUAAUUAAUUCUUUGGACCAUCCUAGGUUAGGUACUAAAUUGUCCCUUUCUUGUCUUAACCAAAAUCUUAAAAUUUCCUUUGUAGUUUUGGUUUUAGCCCUUUUAAAUUAAUUAAUUAAUUUGCUAAAUAAAUUAAUCAGGUAACCUACGGGAAUUACUAAAGUACCCCUUAGUUGAUAGGACCAUAACUAACCUUUUGGACCAUCCUAGGUUAGGUACUAUGUUGUCUCUGUAACUAGUACUAGGUUAGUGUCAACCUGGUUUUGGUCUUAGGUUGUCGAGUCUCGGGUGCACUAGUGGGUCCAUUUCGGUUAGUCUUAGGUUAGUUAGCUAUUUGGGAUAGUAGGUUAGAGUCUAAAAAUGGUUAGGAAGUUAGGCCCCACAUGGAGUGGUCUCUUAUGCACGUUUUUGUCCCUUUAACCACCCUAAUUUAAUUCGGUUAGGGUGGUCCCCUCCUUUGGUGCUUCUUCACAUGUCUUGUACAUGUGCUUGCACAUGGGUUGAUUGUACUUUCCUAACUAACUAUUAUUUAUGGUUCCUUUGGAAAUGUUUACUUAUUGUCCCAAGGAUUCUCAGUAUGUCUUUGGGCACUGCUUACUCUACAUGAUCAUGUUAAUUGAUCAUGUGACAUGGUAUCUAGGCUUGACACUUGGAUGCCUCAUACCUUUUUGUGAGUUAAAGGAAAAAAUAUUUUAUUUUAGGGUCUUCAUUGCAGGUACAUUUAUUGAACACCAAUCUUGGAUUGGGGUACGACAACCCAAAAAGUAUUAUUUCUUAUUUGUAUAUAGAAAAUUUGCUAAUAUCCCUUAGCCAAUUUUUCUAUAUUAUGCCCAAUAUUUCUCAAUAUUGGCAUUGGGGUGCCUAUGUACCCCUAAUAGGCUAUCCUAAGGGCAUACUGGCUUUUCAUUAGGCAUAUGAUUUUCCAGAAUGUUACAUUAUCCCCCCUCCCCUUAGGAACAUUCGUCCCUGAAUGACACUUACACAUCAUUUAAACAAAGAGGGUGAUUUUUCGAAAGUUACUUUAUCACGCUUAAACAAAGAGGGUGAUUUUCGAAAGUUACUUUAUCACGCUUAAACUUUUCUCCUUUGUUAAUAUCUGAUUCACACAUAUUUGGAUGAUGCAUAUCAUUCAAGCUUAUCUUAAGCUUCAUAAUUGAGAUUAAGGAAUUUUCUUCUCAAUCACACUUAAUGAACAUCACAAAUCAUGCAACACAGAAAACAUGCCUAUGCUACACAAAAACAGCAACACAAAAUGCAACAUAACUUCUUUUUAACUCACAUAGUUCUAUUAUAAGACAUAUGAUCAAGGACUUACCACACCAAAUCCACUACACACUUAAACUUAGAGUUUCUUAAACAUAAACCAGACUUAGGAAGAGUAUAUCUAACCUCGUAGAUAACAUCUUAUUGUCCUUAAGAUUUGAACCUAAUGACGCCCAACUUAACUACAAAGGGACUUGCCACUGUGCCAUGAACUUCUAUACAUACCCCUUCAGCCUUAACACUGUCUCCUAUGGGAGUACUAACUAGAAACGGUUCAUGUAAGAUCUCAGGAAGUAAGUCAAAUUGAUUAGCCAACAAAGGAGUAACCAUAGGCAAAGUAGAUCCUGGAUCUAAUAAUGCAUAAACACACACACAAAAAAAAGACAAGCAAGUUACCAUUAUCCACAUAUGCGUACUUCUCUUGUUCCUCUAUUCCUCUCAACGCAUGAAAUCGGUUUCCCUUUGGAGGGUUCGGCUACAACAUUUGACCGAGGCUGAGCAUUUGCCUUGACCUAUUGGAUUUGAACCACGCCUUUCUCAUUUUAACUCAACUUAUUUGGAAACUGAAGCCUUACUACCCUAUUUCUAUAGUCUAUUAUAACAUAACACUUAAGAAGCAAAUCCAUGUCUAAGUCAUGUUCUUGAGUUGGUAUGCAACCAACGUAUCCUUCUCCUUCUCAUUAAUACUCAUAGCAGGCUUUUAGACAUUACCAUGCAUUCACCUCCAUGCGAACAGCCAAACUCACCACACGUCUUUCGUCCACGUUGGGCAUUUCCAUUAUGGCCCUUUCUUGGGAAAGCUAGAUCUUGAUUCUGGCGCCUUAGACCACUUGGCCAUCCUAAUUCUUGUGUGUAUCCCUAUACAUGCUCACACAAGAAGGAAGUUAGAUACUUAGAAUGACUCAAAGUGUAAAAGCUCUAGAUAGCACGAUAAAGAGGAGAAGAAAGGAGAAUUUUCUAUCAUUGCGUAGUCUCUAAGUCAUGAUUGUGGCGCACUUCACAACCAUAAGCUAGAAACUACGUGAUGUGGUUGUGUUGAGCUUUAGUUCCUAGGUAAUUUAACCUCAUGCUCUGAUACCAAGUUUGUCACGACCCGGAUUCUGGAAUCCGGAUCGCAACCGGCGUCGUUGACCUCUCAAAGGUUGUAGACAAGCC
rnacentral:lncRNA from 1 species